UUAUCCAGCAAACAUCAAAUUCAUAAUCGUAUCGACCCCCACCGUGAAAAAAUAAAAUAACCAUUUAAAUAAAGAAAAAAAACAAUAGUUAACACCAUAAAGUCUUCAGAAAUCUUUCCCCCCAAAAUUUUCAGCAAAAUUCUUCUCCCUCUCAAAGUUUCUCCUCGAUCCCUUGAACCCAAACCAAUCGACGGCAGCCCUCACGUCGAAAACCCUAAUUACUAACCGGCUGCAACCCUCGCCUCACCUAAGCGGCGGCUACAAACCCUAAUUACCUAACCGGCGACUACAAACCCUAAUCGGAGCUUGAACUGAUCGACAAAUAGAGGUGAUAUUGUAGUUGUUCUACCUUUAGGCGAUUGUUCACUCACCACCGAGUGUGAAGGUGGUGUUAAGAUUGAAAUUCCUAUUGUGAUUUUGGUGAAGGUGGUGUUGAGAUGGGGAUGAUGUAUAGAGUAUCUUCAAGCUGUUCGUAUUUUGCAUUUUGAUCAUGGAGCUGUUUUUCUUUUACGAAGGUUUUUUUUUUUUGUUAGAUUGACAUUUUAUUUUGCAGAUUUUGAAUUUUGUGCAGUCGCAUUUUGUCUUUCUUUUGCUGAGUAAGGAUUCAUUUGAUCUUUGGAAGAGCUUUGCAACAAUUUAGGAAAUUAAUUAAUCGGAUAGUUUUUUUUGGUUAUAUCGUGAUAUUAUUAAUUGAAUUCGGAACGAAA